rnacentral:rRNA from 1 species
AAGAUUAAGCCAUGCAUGUCUAAGUACAUACCUUUGCACGGUGAAACCGCGAAUGGCUCAUUAAAUCAGUUAUGGUUCCUUAGAUCGUUCAUAUUACAUGGAUAACUGUGGUAAUUCUAGAGCUAAUACAUGCAUAAAAUCUCGACCCUUUGGAAGAGAUGUAUUUAUUAGAUAAAAUCAAUGUCUUCGGACUCUUUGAUGAUUCAUAAUAACUUUUCGAAUCGCAU